GUCCGAACCAGAGAGAGCUUCCUAAAGAUAGUCAAUGUUAAGGCAAUGAGCACGUAAUUGAGGUUUCCAUGGGAUUGCAGUAUGACUCUUUAGUCGCUCAGAGCCAAAUGUAUGUAGCUGCUCUAGCCUGGAGAAUACAGGAUGGGACAGGGCCCAGGACCCAACCUGCAGGAAACCGACAGGAAAAAGUGUCGACUGGAACAGGAUUUUCUCCUUACACAUAUCAGAGACACCCCCUAAACGCUCACCGAUACUCUAAAGGUCCAGAUGUGAGCUGAAACUGAGUGGUGAUGUCAUCACAGCCCCAUGUCCACUCCUCUGCGGAAUCCAGAAAGCAGACAGAGGAGAGAAGUGGGGGAUGAGAGAGAAAGAGAAGGGAAAGGUAUGCAAUAGACACCAAAAUGAAGAAAUAGGAACAUUUGCUUUGGACAGUGAAAGCAAGGGGGUGGUGGUGUUCUUUAAUUCA
ensembl:lncRNA